AGCCUGAUGCAGCGACGCCGCGUGAGGGAUGACGGCCUUCGGGUUGUAAACCUCUUUCAGUAGGGAAGAAGGGAAAGUGACGGUACCUGCUGAACAAUCGCCGGCUAACUACAUGACACCAGCCGCGGUAAUACGUAAGGCGCAGGCGUUAUCCGGAAUUAUUGGGCGUAAAGAGCUCGUACGGGGUUUGUCGCGUCUGCCGUGAAAUUGCGGGGCUCAACUCCGGAUCUGCGGUGGGUACGGGCAGACUAGAGUGAUGUAGGGGAGACUGGAAUUCCUGGUGUAGCGGUGAAAUGCGCAGAUAUCAGGAGGAACACCGAUGGCGAAGGCAGGUCUCUGGGCAUUAACUGACGCUGAGGAGCGAAAGCAUGGGGAGCGAACAGGAUUAGAUACCCUGGUAGUCCAUGCCGUAAACGUUGGGCACUAGGUGUGGGGGACAUUCCACGUUUUCCGCGCCGUUCUAACGCAUUAUCUGCCCCGCCUGGGGAGUACGGCCGCAAGGCUAAAACUCAAAUGAAAUUGACGGA
rnacentral:rRNA from 1 species